rnacentral:rRNA from 1 species
AUUGAACGCUGGCGGCAUGCCUUACACAUGCAAGUCGAACGGCAGCACGGGAGCAAUCCUGGUGGCGAGUGGCGAACGGGUGAGUAAUACAUCGGAACGUGCCCAAUCGUGGGGGAUAACGCAGCGAAAGCUGUGCUAAUACCGCAUACGAUCUACGGAUGAAAGCAGGGGAUCGCAAGACCUUGCGCGAAUGGAGCGGCCGAUGGCAGAUUAGGUAGUUGGUGAGGUAAAGGCUCACCAAGCCGUCGAUCUGUAGCUGGUCUGAGAGGACGACCAGCCACACUGGGACUGAGACACGGCCCAGACUCCUACGGGAGGCAGCAGUGGGGAAUUUUGGACAAUGGGCGAAAGCCUGAUCCAGCCAUGCCGCGUGCAGGAUGAAGGCCUUCGGGUUGUAAACUGCUUUUGUACGGAACGAAACGGCCUUUUCUAAUAAAGAGGGCUAAUGACGGUACCGUAAGAAUAAGCACCGGCUAACUACGUGCCAGCAGCCGCGGUAAUACGUAGGGUGCAAGCGUUAAUCGGAAUUACUGGGCGUAAAGCGUGCGCAGGCGGUUAUGUAAGACAGUUGUGAAAUCCCCGGGCUCAACCUGGGAACUGCAUCUGUGACUGCAUAGCUAGAGUACGGUAGAGGGGGAUGGAAUUCCGUGUGUAGCAGUGAAAUGCGUAGAUAUGCGGAGGAACACCGAUGGCGAAGGCAAUCCCCUGGACCUGUACUGACGCUCAUGCACGAAAGCGUGGGGAGCAAAAAGG